GGCCCCGACGACCGGAUUUCGGUGGA
rnacentral:piRNA from 1 species